CCGUAGGUGAACCUGCGGAGGGAUCAUUACAAGUGACCCCGGUCUAACCACCGGGAUGUUCAUAACCCUUUGUUGUCCGACUCUGUUGCCUCCGGGGCGACCCUGCCUUCGGGCGGGGGCUCCGGGUGGACACUUCAAACUCUUGCGUAACUUUGCAGUCUGAGUAAACUUAAUUAAUAAAUUAAAACUUUUAACAACGGAUCUCUUGGUUCUGGCAUCGAUGAAGAACGCAGCGAAAUGCGAUAAGUAAUGUGAAUUGCAGAAUUCAGUGAAUCAUCGAAUCUUUGAACGCACAUUGCGCCCCCUGGUAUUCCGGGGGGCAUGCCUGUUCGAGCGUCAUUUCACCACUCAAGCCUCGCUUGGUAUUGGGCAACGCGGUCCGCCGCGUGCCUCAAAUCGACCGGCUGGGUCUUCUGUCCCCUAAGCGUUGUGGAAACUAUUCGCUAAAGGGUGUUCGGGAGGCUACGCCGUAAAACAACCCCAUUUCUAAGGUGACCUCGGAU
rnacentral:sRNA from 1 species